rnacentral:lncRNA from 1 species
ACUGAGAGAGGCAACUGAACUUAUACUUAAAAGCCUGUGUCAAAACAGUGCACCAAAAUGCCUUGAAUCUCCCUUUUCCUCCCGAAGUGAUGUGGGUUUUCCCCCCAUGCAGAUGAACCCCCGGAACUCUUGGGCGAACUCCAGUUUGACACCUUGUUCUCUCAUUCUCAGGAAGGGAGAAAGAAAGGAGUUGCUGUCAACAGGGACAGAUGGACUCCUCUGCUUCCAUUCACCAUUCCAUGAGCCACCUGAAUCUGGCCUUGUUAGGCUGUUUACUGCUUUCUCUGCUGAGAAUCUGAGGGUAUCUUGAUGGACUACUUAAACUGAUACACUCCCUAGUCUGAUCGUUCGAGACCAAGAUAGGGUAUCUUUUGUUUUGUGAGCUGGGCAUGGCACUUCUACAGCAUUUGCUCCAGAAAACUUAGUGUUCUGUGAAGCACUGUCCUGUAACGGAAUAGGGUAAAACGUGUGAGGUAGCCAAAAUGCUCAAUGGGUAAAAAGCAUUUGCUGCCGGGCCUGAGUUUGACACCUGAAAACCACAAGGUGAUAGAGAGAACGAGCUCCCACAAAUUGUGCUCCAUGUCCCCCAGUCUGUCUUGCAAAACAAACAAAACAACCAAAACCAAAUUUCGGAAGAGGUAAUGUUAUUAACAAAAGCAUCAGGUGGACUUGGUGGUACAAGCCUGUAACCUCAGCCACUUAGGAGGGUAAGUCACCAGGAUCGCUGGGCUGUCCUGCUUAAGGCAGGCGAUGAUGCUACAGCUCAAUGAUAGAUUUUUUUCCUGAUAUUCAAGAGGCCCUGGGUUUGGUCCUAAGCAGAGGUGCAGAGAGGGAGAGGGACUGAGGCAAAGACGGGGAAGCAGGUAGAGGAUAAUAGAAAGAGAGAGAGAGAAAGGAGAAGAAGAGAAAAGAA